rnacentral:lncRNA from 1 species
UGAUAUCAUAGUGGUUGGAUUCAGACCUGGGAGUGUGAUCGCCUAUUUCGUUUCUCUACUACAAGGACAACAGUCCAUUGACGCAAAUACUCUUCAAGCAAAUUUAAGUAAAAUAGUAAAGAAUGUGUUUGGUAAUGAAACUGAAGUAACAGUACAAUCAAUCCCAACAUCUGAAACAAAUCUGGCCUGGAAAACAGCGGUGAUUGUCCUUGGAGUUCUACUUGGAGUUGCAUUAAUACUUGCUAUGCUGAUACUGGCAGUGUGCCUUUGGAUGAGGUCUACAGCUGGUGAAUAUUGGCUUGAACCUAAAGGACUCAUGGGAAAUUUUGCCUACCAUUACUUAUAAGCCUUUACUUUGACUUAUAAAUGAUUUCACACACUACCUUAAAAUAGAUUUAAUAGAGAGAUUUUAAUGUAUCUUUUUAUCUGAAGUACUUACAUGACACUCCGUGCCCCCCAUUACAGUUGUACCUGAGUGCCUCACAAUCUUUAAUGUAUUUAUCUUCACAACAGCUUUGUGAGGUAGGGAAGUGCUAUUAUCCUCAUUUUAUUAAGGAGGAACUGAGCCACAGAGAGACUAAGUGACCUACCCUGAGAAGUCUGUGGCAGAGCUCGGAGUUCCAUGCUAGUGACCCAAGGAAAUGAAAUGGCCAUAAAUGGCAGUUAUAGAUUAGAUAUGUGGUGUUAGAGUUAUAAACACAAAAGAGUUGAUGCUUCUACAGAAAUCACCAGCAACAUUUCCAUUGUCUUAAAUGGGAACAUGAUGAAGCCCACUAUUAUGGUCCAUAUUUUGCUCUUGGAAGUACUUAACUUCAAGGAGAGCUGUAUAUAUGCAUCUAAUGGCAGAACUUGACUCUUUGUGUGCCUGUGUGUUUACUACAUUCAUUUAGUUUUAACCCAUCACAUAAAUUCACUAUACAAAGUGUGGCUUGGCAUGUACCUACAUGUCUUACGCACAUCACAAAUGAACUUAUACAUAUGAAUAUUCUACACAACUCCAUGAUUAUCUUCUUUCGUUUUGACCAAUGAGCACAGUUUGCAAUAAACAAAUAAAAUCUUUAUAAAGUAUGUUGACU